rnacentral:rRNA from 1 species
GAUGAACGCUGGCGGCGUGCCUAAUACAUGCAAGUCGAGCGAACAGACGAGGAGCUUGCUCCUCUGACGUUAGCGGUGGACGGGUGAGUAACACGUGGAUAACCUACCUAUAAGACUGGGAUAACUUCGGGAAACCGGAUAUAAUACCGGAUAACAUGUUGAACCGCAUGGUUCAACAGUGAAAGACGGUCUUGCUGUCACUUAUAGAUGGAUCCGCGCCGCAUUAGCUAGUUGGUAAGUGAACGGCUUACCAAGGCAACGAUGCGUAGCCGACCUGAGAGGGUGAUCGGCCACACUGGAACUGAGACACGGUCCAGACUCCUACGGGAGGCAGCAGUAGGGAAUCUUCCGCAAUGGGCGAAAGCCUGACGGAGCAACGCCGCGUGAGUGAAGAAGGUCUUCGGAUCGUAAAACUCUGUUAUUAGGGAAGAACAAAUGUGUGAGUAACUAUGCACGUCUUGACGGUACCUAAUCAGAAAGCCACGGCUAACUACGUGCCAGCAGCCGCCGUAA